rnacentral:rRNA from 1 species
AGGGUGUAAACGCUGCAGACUUGGUGUUGGAAAUCCUUCGAGGGUAUUCAGUGCCGGAGAGAAGUUGUUAAGUCUGCUACUUGGGGAGUACGUCCGCAAGGAUGAAACUUAAAGGAAUUGGCGGGGGAGCACCGCAACGGGAGGAGCGUGCGGUUAAUUGGAUUCAACACCGUAAAACUCACCAGGGAAGACUGUUACAUGAAGGCCAGGCUGAUGACCUUGCUGAUUUUCGAGAGGAGGUGCAUGGCGUAGUCGUGUGACGUCUACGCCAUGCA